GGUUCCAUAGUGUAACAGUUAACACGUCUGCUUUACAUACAGAAGGUCCUGGGUUCAUGCCCCAGUGGAGCCA
rnacentral:tRNA from 1 species